UGGGGAAUAUUGCACAAUGGGCGCAAGCCUGAUGCAGCAACGCCGCGUGAGGGAUGACGGCCUUCGGGUUGUAAACCUCUUUUAGUAGGGAAGAAGCGAAAGUGACGGUACCUGCAGAAAAAAGCACCGGCUAACUACGUGCCAGCAGCCGCGGUAAUACGUAGGGUGCGAGCGUUGUCCGGAAUUAUUGGGCGUAAAGAGCUCGUAGGCGGUCUGUCGCGUCUGCUGUGAAAACCCGAGGCUCAACCUCGGGCCUGCAGUGGGUACGGGCAGACUAGAGUGCGGUAGGGGAGAAUGGAAUUCCUGGUGUAGCGGUGGAAUGCGCAGAUAUCAGGAGGAACACCGAUGGCGAAGGCAGUUCUCUGGGCCGUAACUGACGCUGAGGAGCGAAAGCGUGGGGAGCGAACAGGAUUAGAUACCCUGGGUAGUCCACGCCGUAAAACGUUGGGCGCUAGAUGUGGGGACCAUUCCACGGUUUCCGUGUCGCAGCUAACGCAUUAA
rnacentral:rRNA from 1 species